CAUGGUAUAUUGUUAAAGAUUAAUUGGUUAUGGAUGGGCAUGCGUUCCAUUUAGCUAGUUGGUAGAGGUAACGGCUCAUCCAAGGCGACGAUGGAUAGGGGAACUGAGAGGUUUAUCCCCCACACUGGUACUGAGACACGGACCAGACUCCUACGGGAGGCAGCAGUGAGGAAUAUUGGUCAAUGGGCGAGAGCCUGAACCAGCCAAAUCGCGUGAAGGAAGACGGUAUUAUGUAUUGUAAACUUCUUUUAUAUAGGAAUAAAGUGAUCCACGCGUGGAUUUUUGUAUGUACUAUAUGAAUAAGCAUCGGCUAACUCCGUGCCAGCAGCCGCGGUAAUACGGAGGAUGCGAGCGUUAUCCGGAUUUAUUGGGUUUAAAGGGUGCGUAGGUUGAUUUAUAAGUCAGUGGUGAAAUCUCGAUGCUUAACAUCGAAACUGCCAUUGAAACUGUAGGUCUUGAGUGUGAACGAGGUAGGCGGAAUUCGUAGUGUAGCGGUGAAAUGCAUAGAUAUUACGAAGAACACCGAUAGCGCAGGCAGCUUACCAGGCCACAACUGACACUGAAGCACGAAAGUGUGGGUAUCAAACAGGAUUAGAUACCCUGGUAGUCCACACAGUAAACGAUGAUAACUAACUGUUUGCGAUAUACAGUAAGCGGUACAGCGAAAGCGUUAAGUUAUCCACCUGGGGAGUACGCC
rnacentral:rRNA from 1 species